rfam:Sus scrofa chromosome 7.
CCAAAGGCUCUUUUCAGAGCCAAUUACCUGGUCUAUGAAAGACGUU